CACCUAUAUGACUGGCCCAGUGAUGGGUGAAAAUCCUCUCUGAGAGCAGGGCCCAUUCAGGAGAGUCAUAUCACCUAGCUGCUUGGCCAAGCAAUAUAUCACAAUGACCCCUUUGCACAGGACCAAGACAAGACAGCUCCAUGACCAGGGAGCUGGGUCCAGCUAUGUGUCACAAUUCCUUUUGUGGAAAGUGCCCAGUUAGAAGAGCAGAGUCACAGCACCUAGGUGAUGGACCCAGAGAGAUGCCACAACGCCAUUUGUGGGCUGGGCCCUGGGAGAAGAAUAACAUCACCCGGUGCUGGGCCCAGCAAUAUGUUGCAAUCCCAACUGGAAAAAGCCAAUAGAUGAAAAAAGAUUCAAGGAAGACACAUUUGCUUUUUAUUCACUCAUCACUUCCCAUCACUAUGCUGACCAGAGUCAAUGUGAGCAGAGUUGAGAAUAGCAGUUUUCUGGCAGGAGAGCCACUUCUCAGCAAAAAAUGACACACUCAAAGUAUAAAUCUUUCAUGGAAGGCUCACAUAUUUUCAGCAAAUUAAGCAUAUGCAUGAAUAAAAUUCUUGUGGUGAAAUAAAGAUUCAUUUUAUUGAUUCCUAUUGAGCUCAGGUAAUAUUGGAUGAAAAGCAAAAAAAUUAUUUGAAAUAGAAAUAUUGUGAAUAAAGUUAUUGUCAAU
rnacentral:lncRNA from 1 species